ensembl:lncRNA
CAGGAAAUGAAAUCUGUGAGUCUAAAUCUUAGGACAGCUGAAGGUUAGUACCCAGAAGAGGCCAAAAGAAAGAUUGAUUACUUUUCCCUUGCAAUUUUCCCUGCUUCUGCCUUCUCACUGAAGGUUCCACAAAACCCCCCAACAACCUACCACCAACAAAACCAACUCACAACAAAAGCUCUGUCCAGUUUAAACCUAAAGGUAACUUUUGAAGGUCCAGCAAAAAUGUACCUGUGCUUCUUUGGUAUGCCAGCCCUCUUUGGGUCCCAACAGUCUGCUUUGGAGCUUCUGAGUCACUGUGUGCUCUCUUACAUUUUUAGCCAUUAGUGAAGUCCAGGUUACAACCUCCGUGACUAUGAGAAGGAAGUUUUUCAGUGCCUUGUAGUGCAUAAGUGUGGGCUGUCCAUACAGUGUAUUGGCUCCUCAGCACUUUCUGCUGACCCCUACACAUCCUCCAGAGCUUUCUUGGAUUUUCACUCUUGUUGCAGCUAUUUACCAAAAAGGUGAAUAAUCCACAAGUUACUGUCCAUCCUUGCUUCUUAUACUGUUUGUUCACUCGUGUUUGGGUUUUUUCCUCCUUAGGACACAAAAGUAUUUUUUGAUUCUGCUUUGGCUCCAAAAAUUGCCAAAGGUUUCUGCACACCUGCUAAAUUUAAAUCUGCUAUCAGUAUCUGUUUAGAAAGAUGAAGUGAAUAAAUCCCUUCCUUCUAUCAACAACACUUUCCAAAGGCUCCAGUUCAGGGAAUUCCCAUGACCUUUGUGAGAGAUGAGUAGAGUGAAUCCUCCAGACACAUCCCACUGUGCAGGUCUGGAGACAGGACAUGUGUAUCCUUAUGGAUGGAGGAUACAGACAUCCUUGUCUUUGAGGAGCUCAGUGGUCUGUCCUGGUUAGAUGUCCACGAGCACCCAUGGUCCAAGCUGGGACUGGCUGUGGGGGGAGCUGGAGCUUUUCCCAGGGUGGUCGUGGCUGGCAGGAGCUGUGGAGCCUCCUGGCCCUCUCUGGGGCACGGGGCCUCCUCUGUUCCCGGGGCUGGUAAAGAAUUACCUGGAUGUGCCGCAGAGUCUCGUUGGAGCUUGUGUUAUGUAAAUGCUCGGACUUCAUUCUUUGACUUUUAUUUUUUUAACCAGAUACGCCAGGAGCCUGAAAUCUUCCAGCCAGCGUCAGAUGUGAAGAGGAGGACUUCUGGGUUCCUACAUAAAAAAGAGAAAAGAAGGGGCAUCUCUCAGCAGUUCGUCAGCUGAAGGUCUCUGGGUUACCCUCAGGCUGCUCUAAGAAUUGUGCUUCUGGCCCAAGAGCAGGAGCAUGUGGGAGCCAGUCUUGCUUAAGGCAACCCAGUCAUGAGCAUAACUGAAGCCUUGGGUGAAGAACAAAACCCUGAGAUUAAAUGGAUUUACUCUGCAAGAUGAGUUUCACUUAUCACCAAAUUAUUUUGGCCUGCAAAGUGUAAGAGCAAUGCAGGAUGGAAGAUACACAUUUGGUCACCAUAUGGUUCUGAAGAGUGGAUCCUUGUGUGACAAAGAGAAGAGAAUUGUAAAAUUUUUUCUGAAAUGUCUUUGAGGUUUUGCCACUUAAAAUUGCUUUGAACUUGCUCAGGACUCAUAAAUUGGCACCAUAAUAACAAGGAUGACUGUUAUAUUCAGGGAGAAAUACACAUAAGCUGGAAAAAACACUGCUGGUUAAAGUGUAAAGAAGGAGGACCUGAUGUGCACUUUGGUCAGGCAUUUAAGUAUUCUGAGAUCAGACUAAAAACAAUAGGACUGCUGCAAAAAGUCAACUUUUUUCUCCUCUCCUUAUGUAACAGAUACAGCAAGAGCAGAAACAAGAACAGUCAUAUUAAUCGGUCUGUACUUUUAUUUGCUUGCUGGUUGUUAAGUCUCCUGGUUGCUCAGGAUAUUAUUUUCAAGUGUCCUCUACAAUAACCAGAGUUAAAGAAUAAAGACAUGAAAGCUUAAAUUGUUUAGAUGUUA